rnacentral:rRNA from 1 species
UGGAGGCAGCAGUGGGGAAUUUUGCACAAUGGGCGAAAGCCUGAUGCAGCAACGCCGCGUGUGUGAUGAAGGUCUUCGGAUUGUAAAGCACUUUCGACCGGGACGAAACACCCUUGGCUAACAUCCAAGGGCCUGACGGUACCGGGAGAAGAAGCACCGGCUAACUCUGUGCCAGCAGCCGCGGUAAUACAGAGGGUGCAAGCGUUGUUCGGAAUUAUUGGGCGUAAAGCGCGUGUAGGCGGCUUGGCAAGUCGGGUGUGAAAUCCCUCAGCUUAACUGAGGAAGUGCGCCCGAAACUGCCGAGCUUGAGUACCGGAGAGGGUGGCGGAAUUCCCCAAGUAGAGGUGAAAUUCGUAGAUAUGGGGAGGAACACCGGUGGCGAAGGCGGCCACCUGGACGGAUACUGACGCUGAGACGCGAAAGCGCGGGGAGCAAACAGGAUUAGAAACCCCAGUAGUCCA